UACGGAGGGUGCAAGCGUUAUCCGGAUUCACUGGGUUUAAAGGGUGCGUAGGUGGGUCUGUAAGUCCGUGGUGAAAUCUCCAAGCUUAACUUGGAAACUGCCGUGGAUACUAUAGAUCUUGAAUAUUGUGGAGGUAAGCGGAAUAUGUCAUGUAGCGGUGAAAUGCUUAGAUAUGACAUAGAACACCGAUGGCGAAGGCAGCCCCCUGGGUCGACACUGACGCUCAUGCACAAAAGCGUGGGGAGCAAACAGG
rnacentral:rRNA from 1 species